UACGUAGGUGGCAAGCGUUUGUCCGGAUUUAUUGGGCGUAAAGCGCGCGCAGGCGGUUUCUUAAGUCUGAUGUGAAAAGCCCUCGGCUUAACCGAGGAGGGUCAUUGGAAACUGGGAGACUUGAGUGCAGAAGAGGAAAGUGGAAUUCCAAGUGUAGCGGUGAAAUGCGUAGAGAUUUGGAGGAACACCAGUGGCGAAGGCGACUUUCUGGUCUGUAACUGACGCUGAGGCGCGAAAGCGUGGGGAGCAAACAGG
rnacentral:rRNA from 1 species